UUACAUAAAAAUUAAAUAUAAAAAAUAAAAUAAAAAUCUAUUUACAGGCUUUAUCGUAUUCCUAAAUUGAAAGAAUUUAGCCACGCAUCAAGCUCUUUAACUCCAUAAUCUCUCAAUAUUUGAUCCCUAAAGCUCUUUAAUUUUUUUCUCUAUUUUUUUCUUGUUUUUUUUCUGAUUUUUUCUCCUCCUAAAGCUUAUUCCUGAACCUCUUAUUUAUAGAUAAUUUUUUUAUAAUUUUUUGGUAGGAAAAAGAGUCCUAAAAUCUUUAGAAAUCGUAUAAAAAUUCUUAAAAUUUUUUUUGGCCAUC
rnacentral:lncRNA from 1 species